ensembl:miRNA gga-mir-12262 gga-mir-12262
UUGUCACAGACCCUGCUAAAGAGUCUGUCCCCUUCUUUAGCAGGGUCUGUGGUGAUA